rnacentral:rRNA from 1 species
UGGGGAAUAUUGCACAAUGGAGGGAACUCUGAUGCAGCGACGCCGCGUGAACGAAGAAGGCUUUCGAGUCGUAAAUUUCUUGUAUAUGGGAAGAUAAUGACGGUACCGUAAGAAAAAGCCCCGGCUAACUACGUGCCAGCAGCCGCGGUAAUACGUAGGGGGCUAGCGUUGUCCGGAAUCACUGGGCGUAAAGGGUUCGCAGGCGGAAAUGCAAGUCAGGUGUAAAAGGCAGUAGCUUAACUACUGUAAGCAUUUGAAACUGCAUAUCUUGAGAAGAGUAGAGGUAAGUGGAAUUUUUAGUGUAGCGGUGAAAUGCGUAGAUAUUAAAAAGAAUACCGGUGGCGAAGGCGACUUACUGGGCUCAUUCUGACGCGGAGGAACGAAAGCGUGGGUAGCAAACAGG